UUGACCUCAAAUCGGGUGAGACUACCCCGCUGAACUUAAGC
rnacentral:rRNA from 1 species